AAGUGAGAAGCAAAUUUUGCAACCAGUUUCGACCUGGUCCUUGAUAAAACCUUAUCCUUACUUU
rnacentral:tRNA from 1 species